rnacentral:rRNA from 1 species
GGACUACUGGGGUAUCUAAUCCUGUUUGCUCCCCACGCUUUCGAGCCUCAACGUCAGUUACAGUCCAGUAAGCCGCCUUCGCCACUGGUGUUCCUCCUAAUAUCUACGCAUUUCACCGCUACACUAGGAAUUCCACUUACCUCUCCUGCACUCUAGUCCCACAGUUUCCAAAGCAGUCCCGGGGUUGAGCCCCGGGCUUUCACUCCAGACUUGCAGAACCGUCUACGCUCCCUUUACACCCAGUAAAUCCGGAUAACGCUUGCCCCCUACGUAUUACCGCGGCUGCUGGCAC